GGCCUGGCUGGACGGUCCGCCUUUUGGGUGAGUACUGUCUGUGGUCGGGUCCUACCUUCUGGCGAAGCGUCAUGGCCUUAACCGGCCGUGGCGGGGAACCAGGACUUUUACUGUGAAAAAAUUAGAGUGUUCAAAGCAGGCAAUCGCUUGGAUACAUUAGCAUGGAAUAAUGGAAUAGGACAAUGGUUCUAUUUGUUGGUUUCUAGGACCGUUGUA
rnacentral:rRNA from 2 species